CUCCUGUGUUUCGUCUGCCCCCGAAGCUGAAAAGCGACGCAGCAGGCCCUCAACCGGCUCUCUAGAAACCGCUCCGCCACCCGAAAACAGCAGAACUCCACCCAAACAAACGGCCAUCAACUUCCUGGCCUUCGACCUGGCCCCUCCACGUCGGGGCUGUAUUCUGCUCGUUCUCGCCAUUUGAAUGACACAGAGUUGAGGCGCUUGGUGAAAAAAUGCGGGCCUAUGAAGGCCAAGGGAUUGGGAGCCCAGAAGCAAGGGAAACUACACUUUGUCCAUCAGGCAGGUGCCCGGUCUACUUUGCUGGUUGGCGGGCACUGAAUUCGUGCUCGGCACAAUGGGAAGGGGCGGGCUGCUCGGGCGGGCCGAGCACGGGGACAUGCCACACACAGUCGCACAGCUGACAGGAAAUUUAUUGUUGGUGUUGGCGGUUUUCACCGGCAAGCAAAGGUUGUGUCUUCUUCUUAUAGCAGGUUAGGCGGCUGCAGUCAGGUGCUCGAUCCAAUAUCUUCUUUUCGUUCCAGAAUCCCCCGUGCUACCUGGGCGCAAUCUUUUUGGUUUCAGCUGGGAGGGCAGUACGAUGGCUGGCAUAUUGGCGUAUACUGUCGCAAUGGAGCGUUUGCUGAAAGAGUGCGGUGUUGCUUGCCUGGAUUUCAUAACACACGGCGACUGUGGAGCAUAGGCAAAAGUACCCGGCGUUAGAGGUUCGGAUCGGUUCCUGCCCUGUCUUCUACGCAACGUGUUGACCCAGUACACCACGUCGGGAACCAGUUUUGCUGCGCAGACGAGUGUGUAGGCCUCUCCGGAGGCCUGUCAUAUCCUGACUGAAUUUUCUGUAAAGUGUGGAGGCACUCCUGCAUCCAAUAUGCGUUGAUAGGUGUGCUGCUCGGUUGUUGCGAGACGUCGAGUUGGGUAAGUGACAUUUUCACCCUCGACUCUCCGAGUGACCGUGUGCAAGUCUUGUGCAAGCUUCCUGUAUAAAAUGUGAAGGCCGU
rnacentral:lncRNA from 1 species